ensembl:lncRNA
GUCACGUAUGAUGGAGACGAGGAGGAGGUCAUGAGUCCGGAGGUCACUCACGUCGUCGCGGAGGUGGAGAGCGACAUGCAAUCACAGGAGCUGAGGGACCUGUGUGGUCGGUUCCCGGGGGCCGCCCCCGUGCAGAAGGACUGGCUGAACCUCUGCUUCUCCAAACAGCGGCGGGUCGACGUCGGCGCCUUCCUGCAUCCACUCGGAUAACAACACGAAGCAUCGGAGCCCCCCCCCCCCCCCACGCUGCGUGAUGAAUAACUACAAUGUUCCUGAAUCACUUCCGUUUAACAAAACAAGAUUUGCGAUUAGAUUACAUGUUUUAUCACAUAGUUGAAACGUGACCGUUUUAAAAUGACUUCAACUUUUCAUAGUUAAUUAACUACUAUUAAAAGAAAGAGAAUAAAAAUAAAAAUGUGUUGCUCUUUUUUCAUUGAAAUGUUUGAUUUGAUGUAAAACGUACGUGUUUUAUUCUUUUUCAAGGAUCUAAAACAACUGGUUUCCUUCGUGUGCGACCAGGCAGCUACGUAACGUCAGUGUCAUUAGUCAUCUUCAUCAACUCUUCAUCAGCAACAUGAACUGAUAUUUAUUAGUAGUUAUUCACACACCUCGUAGUUGCAGACACGCGACCUUUUUUAGCGCGUUCAUGCAAAAACAAAUAGGCUGAAACAGCGUUUACAAGGUGCCCGGGGCUGCGCGUGCGCGUGUGUGGGCGGGGCUUCACCAUGUGAGGCACGAGGAGCGCUCGCGCGUCACAUUCCUCUUCAGUCUCGCGGAGGCGACGCGCGGCUGAGAAUCUGCGUUCAGAUUUAAACCGUUUGAAUACUUGAACUCAACGUACGUUUUGCUUCUUAAACUCUUUUUCGUUGUCCUUUUUUUUUUUUACCGGAAGUCAUCGACGGGCUUCGGAUGCAGCCGGAGGCGGGAGCCCGUGGUCGUCCUGAGGGGGGGGCCCAGUGAUGCUGCCCGGUACCGUCCACUCGGCCUCGGCCCCCGUCAGCUUUCUGAGCGGAUACCUCAGCGGACGCCUCAACACGCCGCAGGAGGACGAUGAGACGAUGAGCACGCAGGAGCAGGAAGCCAGCGGCGUCCACGAGCCAAGCUCCGCCCCUCACCCCGACGCCCGGCGCCACCACCACGCCUCCGCCUCGCCGUUUGGCGGACCGAGGCCGGGCCGCGCGGAGGAGCUCCGCCUCUCUCCCCCGGGCUCCAGCUUCUGCUGUUAUCAGCCCCCCUGCUGCCUGCCCCCCGGGUACAGCCAGCCCACGCCGUUCCCCAGCCGGGACGGCGGCGCCUGGCUCCACCCGAGCUUCGCCAGCAGCUGGUCGGGUUACCCCGACAGCCUGCCGUCCUCCCCGGGCCGGAAAGACCCGUCCUGCCGCUCCGCCGACAGCAGCCUCUCGGGCUACAAGUUCGCGUCCCUCCCCAGCCGGCACAGCUGGGGCAGCCUGGAGCAGCCGCUCUCGCUGUGCUCCAACCCGCCAUCGGGCAACUUGCGGCACCACGCGCUGUCGCCGUACACGUGCUCGCCGCAGGGGGCGGCCUGCUGCGCGCAAUGUCCCGUAGACUCCUUUGGUGGGGCGUCGCCAUUCCCCGGGCACCCGUGGGCGCCGUACCACCCGGCUCACAGCCCGUACUGUAAGUCUGUGUGUCCGCCUCAGACUUUUAAGGAGGCGAAGCCCCGCCCCCCUUUUAGGUUGACCGCCAUCUGA